rnacentral:rRNA from 1 species
UACGGAGGGUGCGAGCGUUAAUCGGAAUUACUGGGCGUAAAGCGCGCGUAGGCGGCUUUGCAAGUCGGGUGUGAAAUCCCCAGGCUUAACCUGGGAACUGCAUUCGAGACUGCAUUGCUAGAGUAUGGGAGAGGGAAGUGGAAUUUCAGGUGUAGCGGUGAAAUGCGUAGAUAUCUGAAGGAACAUCAGUGGCGAAAGCGACUUCCUGGACCAAUACUGACGCUCAUGUGCGAAAGCGUGGGGAGCAAACAGGAUUAGAAACCCGAGUAGUCC